CAGCAGCCGCGGUAAUNCGANGGGUNCAAGCGUUAAUCGGAAUUACUGGGCGUAAAGCGCGCGUAGGUGGUUCGUUAAGUUGGAUGUGAAAGCCCCGGGCUCNACCUGGGAACUGCAUCCAAAACUGGCGAGCUAGAGUAUGGCAGAGGGUGGUGGAAUUUCNUGUGUAGCGGUGAAAUGCGUAGAUAUAGGAAGGAACNCCAGUGGCGNAGGNGACCACCUGGGCUAAUNCUNACACUGAGGUGCGAAANGCGUGGGGAGCAAACCAGGNUUAGACUACCCCUGGUAUGUCCAUCGCCGUAAAACGAUUGUCCGAUCUAGGNCCUAUUNAGGAUCCCUUGAGGAUACUUAUGUGGCGCAGCUAAUCGCANUNCUUUNAAAGGGGCCUGGGGACGUNUCNCCCNCAUAGGUUAAAACCUCAAAG
rnacentral:rRNA from 1 species